rnacentral:rRNA from 1 species
UACAGAGGGUGCGAGCGUUGUUCGGAAUUACUGGGCGUAAAGCGCGCGCAGGCGGCCUUUUAAGUCUUGUGGUGAAAUGCCGGGGCUCAACCCCGUGCCCGCCGGAGAUACUGGGAGGCUGGAGACGAGUAGAGGCAAGCGGAAUUCCGGGUGUAGCGGUGGAAUGCGUAGAGAUCCGGAAGAACACCGGUGGCGAAGGCGGCCUGCUGGGCAGUGGCUGACGCUGAGGCGCGACAGCGUGGGGAGCAAACAGG